GACGAACGCUGGCGGCGUGCUUAACACAUGCAAGUCGAACGGAAAGGCACUGCUUUUGUGGGGUGCUCGAGUGGCGAACGGGUGAGUAACACGUGAGUAACCUGCCCUUGACUUUGGGAUAACUUCAGGAAACUGGGGCUAAUACCGGAUAGGAGCUCCUGCUGCAUGGUGGGGGUUGGAAAGUUUCGGCGGUUGGGGAUGGACUCGCGGCUUAUCAGCUUGUUGGUGGGGUAGUGGCUUACCAAGGCUUUGACGGGUAGGCGGCCUGAGAGGGUGACCGGCCACAUUGGGACUGAGGUACGGCCCAGACUCCUACGGGAGGCAGCAGUGGGGAAUAUUGCACAAUGGGCGGAAGCCUGAUGCAGCAACGCCGCGUGCGGGAUGACGGCCUUCGGGCUGUAAACCGCUGUCGCCUGUGACGAAGCGGGAGUGACGGUAAUGGGUAAAGAAGCACCGGCUAACUACGUG
rnacentral:rRNA from 1 species